rnacentral:rRNA from 1 species
CCUACGGGUGGCAGCAGUGGGGAAUAUUGUACAAUGGUCGAAAGCCUGAUCCAGCCAUGCCGCGUGUGUGAAGAAUGCCUUCGGGUUGUAAAGCACUUUCAGUGGGGAAGAAAGCUUUGGGGCUAAUACCCUCGAGGAAGUACAUCACCCACAGAAGAAGCACCGGCUAACUCCGUGCCAGCAGCCGCGUUAAUACGGAGGGUGCGAGCGUUAAUCGGAAUUACUGGGCGUAAAGCGCGCGUAGGCGGUCUUAUAAGCCGGUUGUGAAAGCCCCGGGCUCAACCUGGGAACGGCAUCCGGAACUGUCAGGCUAGAGUGCAGGAGAGGAAGGUAGAAUUCCCGGUGUAGCGGUGAAAUGCGUAGAGAUCGGGAGGAAUACCAGUGGCGAAGGCGGCCUUCUGGACUGACACUGACGCUGAGGUGCGAAAGCGUGGGUAGCAAACAGGAUUAGAUACCCGGGUAGUC